rnacentral:rRNA from 1 species
CAGUCGCCACGGUAAUACGUAGGGUGCAAGCGUUAAUCGGAAUUACUGGGCGUAAAGCGUGCGCAGGCGGUUUGUUAAGACAGAUGUGAAAUUCCUGGGCUCAACCUGGGGACUGCAUUUGAUACGUAUGGACUUGAGUGGAGAAGAGGGUCGUGGAAUUUCCAGUGUAGAGGUGAAAUUCGUAGAUAUUGGAAAGAACACCGGUGGCGAAGGCGGCGACCUGGUCUUUAACUGACGCUGAGGCGCGAAAGCGUGGGGAGCAAACAGGAUUAGAGACCCGCGUAGUCCCUGUCUCUUAUAC